UUACAAAUGAACGUUGACUGUCAUGUGUCACAUUCUGAUUGGACGAUAAAAAUGUAGUGUUGUUGUCAACAUCCAAUCAGAACGUAACAGUGACAGUUAAUAUUC
rnacentral:pre_miRNA from 1 species